rnacentral:lncRNA from 1 species
UGAUAUUUGCUGAGAAACAGUCAGAGAAUCACCAACAAAAUCGCAGACUAUCUUUGAAUCCCCUUUAUAGCUCUUGACUGUUUCUUUUCCGAAUUAACAGUUCCAGUGCAUGGAGACUAUUCCAUAUGACUUAUUUUAAUGCAGUGUGUGGUUGCAUUGACUUGGACUCAUGGUGAGCGCGCACCUCUGUACCAUUAGA